UGUUAAAUAUCAGCUACGCAAAUCAGCCCGCGUCUAUUGUGCUACUUUAAAUAAUGUGCGCACGUGAAUUCUCAUUCUAACAUUCUAAACGGAAGAUAGCAGGCAAAUAAAAGCUAACAAAGUAGUACCGCGAUCUUUCGUAUUCCGAAGUUUCGGUUUCCACAUGUUCUCUCGCUAAUUGCCGUUCUCAUUUCAAUAACGGCAGUUGUCCUACUGGUUAAAGUGUUACAGGCGGGAAAAUCACGAGAUUCCCAUGUCACUUGCAACCAAUUGAAAACAAAUCCAGGCAAUGCAAAUGGUAGAAAUAAGUUAAACAGCCUCAAUAAGUUGGACAAGAGCCAAUUAGAAGCGUGUUGUUAC